AACUUUCAGCAACGGAUCUCUUGGUUCUGGCAUCGAUGAAGAACGCAGCGAAAUGCGAUAAGUAAUGUGAAUUACAGAAUUCAGUGAAUCAUCGAAUCUUUGAACGCACAUUGCGCUCCCUGGUAUUCCGGGGAGCAUGCCUGUUCGAGCGUCAUUACAACCCUCAAGCUCUGCUUGGUGUUGGGCCCCGCCGCCUCGGCGGGCCCUAAAGUCAGUGGCGGUGCCGUCCGGCUCCGAGCGUAGUAAUUUUUCUCGCUUUGGAGGCCCGGGCGCGUGCUCGCCAUCAACCCCCAAUUUUUUCAGGUUGACCUCGGAUCAGGUAGGGAUACCCGCUGAAUUUAAGCAUAUCAAUAAGCGGAGGCU
rnacentral:misc_RNA from 1 species